AUCUGAGCAUCUCCUAGACCUGCACCAGGCAAUAUGACUCAUGUCUCUCAUAUGUGGCUCCUCUACGAUCCCCAAAGGGGAAAUGAGAUUCAGAGUAAAACCCACCUCUCCACAACCUCAGUAUUCCCUCUGCUGUGCUGAGACCUCCUUGUCUCCCUACAAGGCACCUACUCACCAGCAUCAGGCAUGGAUGGAGCCUGCAGCACAACAGUUAACGUGCCCUAGGCCUGGAAAACCCAGCACAAGCUCCAGAUGGAUCAGGAAAGCACCCCAGACUGCCAGGAGAGGCUCACUCUGCUACGUCCCCACUCAGACCUGACUGAGAAACAACAACUCCUGAGUGGUUUGCUCCAAGCUGAUAAGACAGAAAUAGUUCUGUAUCUCACCAAGAAGUCACCACUGUUGGACUGAUGGACAGGGAACAACUCUGGUAGCCUUUCAUUGAAAUGGAGUUACUCGUGCACACGAUGAAAAUCCUGUUGGAACAGCCACCUGCUGAAGUCCCACAUGCUGAAGCAGGGAAGGAAGCAGGAUGAGGAUAGUUUGGUCCUGGAAAUGUAAUGGAGUGAGAGCUCUGCUUCAGACACACAACCACAGAUGGGUCUUACACACUUGUGUGUGGAGCAGCCCCUUUUCCCUGGGUAGCUGCAGAGUUCAGAGGUGGGAACUGGCCAUCUCCUGGCAGCCAAACCCACUGAACACCCCUGGCUUCAGUGAGUGCUGGCUCAAGCUUUCUGUAUUUCAGAUAUGAGUGGCUUUAAGCUGUUUUUCACAGUCUGUGUAUUGUUUCUCUUGCUCAAAUAAUUUAGCUUUAACCUGAGGCUGUGGGCUCAAUCCUUGCUGUCAAAGCCCAGUGUGUAGCUUUGCAUGCAGCUCCUGAGGGGAUGGGGGAGUACAGCAUGAA